rnacentral:rRNA from 1 species
CCUACGGGGCGCAGCAGUGGGGAAUAUUGGACAAUGGGGGGAACCCUGAUCCAGCCAUGCCGCGUGUGUGAAGAAGGCCCUCGGGUUGUAAAGCACUUUCAGUGAGGAAGAACGCCUGGUGGUUAAUACCCAUCAGGAAAGACAUCACUCACAGAAGAAGCACCGGCUAACUCCGUGCCAGCAGCCGCGGUAAUACGGAGGGUGCGAGCGUUAAUCGGAAUUACUGGGCGUAAAGCGCGCGUAGGUGGCUUGAUAAGCCGGUUGUGAAAGCCCCGGGCUCAACCUGGGAACGGCAUCCGGAACUGUCAAGCUAGAGUGCAGGAGAGGAAGGUAGAAUUCCCGGUGUAGCGGUGAAAUGCGUAGAGAUCGGGAGGAAUACCAGUGGCGAAGGCGGCCUUCUGGACUGACACUGACACUGAGGUGCGAAAGCGUGGGUAGCAAACAGGAUUAGAUACCCCAGUAGUC